rnacentral:rRNA from 1 species
GUGGAUAGGGGUGAAAGGCCAAUCAAACUUCGUGAUAGCUGGUUCUCUCCGAAAUAUAUUUAGGUAUAGCCUUGUGUUGUAGCAUAUAGGGGUAGAGCACUGAAUGGGCUAGGGCUGCUUACCGCGGUACCAAACCCUAUCAAACUAUGAAUACUAUAUGUGGAAUCACAGGAGUCAGGCGGUGGGUGAUAAAAUCCGUCGUCAAGAGGGGAACAACCCAGACUAACAGCUAAGGUCCCUAAGUUACAUCUAAGUGGAAAACGAUGUGGAGUUACUGUGACAACCAGGAGGUUGGCUUAGAAGCAGCCAUCCUUUAAAGAAAGCGUAACAGCUCACUGGUCUAGUGAUUCUGCGCGGAAAAUAUAACGGGGCUAAGAUGUACACCGAAGCUUUAGAUUCAAUUUUUAAUUGAGUGGUAGGAGAGCGUUCUAUUCAGCGUUGAAGGUAUACCGGUAAGGAGUGCUGGAGCGGAUAGAAGUGAGCAUGCAGGCAUGAGUAGCGAUAAUUAAGGUGAGAAUCCUUAACGCCGAAAACCCAAGGUUUCCUACGCGAUGCUCGUCAUCGUAGGGUUAGUCGGGUCCUAAGUCGAGACUGAAAAGUGUAGACGAUGGCAAAUUGGUUAAUAUUCCAAUACCAACAUAUAAGCGCGAUGUGGGGACGCAUAGAGUUAGUCGAGCUCACUGAUGGAAUAGUGGGUCGAAGGAUGUAGGUUGUUAAGUAGGCAAAUCCGCUUAACGUUAGACCGAGAUCUUACAGGCUCUUGACACUCUUCGGAGGAGAUGGAGAAUCGAUGAUACUGUCGUGCCAAGAAAAGCCACUAAGUUUAUUAUAUGUUGCCCGUACCGUAAACCGACACAGGUGGGUGGGAUGAGUAUUCUAAGGCGCGUGGAAGAACCCUCUUUAAGGAACUCUGCAAAAUAGCACCGUAUCUUCGGUAUAAGGUGUGCCUACUUUGGUAUAUGAACUUGCUUCAAAAAGCUAGAGAGGUUGCAACAAAGAGUCCCUCCCGACUGUUUACCAAAAACACAGCACUUUGCUAACACGUAAGUGGAUGUAUAAGGUGUGACGCCUGCCCGGUGCUCGAAGGUUAAUUGAUGAUGUCAGCGCAAGCGAAGCAUUUGAUCGAAGCCCGAGUAAACGGCGGCCGUAACUAUAACGGUCCUAAGGUAGCGAAAUUCCUUGUCAGUUAAAUACUGACCUGCAUGAAUGGCGUAACGAGAUGGGAGCUGUCUCAAAGAGGGAUCCAGUGAAAUUGUAGUGGAGGUGAAAAUUCCUCCUACCCGCGGAAAGACGGAAAGACCCCGUGCACCUUUACUACAGCUUGACACUGUAGCUUGGAUAUUCAUGUGCAGGAUAGGUGGGAGGCUAUGAUGACUAGACGCAAGUAGAGUCGGAGCCAUCCUUGAGAUACCACCCUUGAAUAUUUGAGUUACUAACUGCGAUGAGUUAUCCUCAUUCAGGACAAUGUCUGGUGGGUAGUUUGACUGGGGCGGUCGCCUCCUAAAUAGUAACGGAGGCUUACAAAGGUUACCUCAGCGCGGUCGGUAAUCGCGCAUAGAGUGUAAAGGCAUAAGGGAGCUUAACUGCGAGACAAACAAGUCGAGCAGUUGCGAAAGCAGGUCUUAGUGAU